AUGGAUAGCAAAAGAUGCAAAAUAUGUGAAUAUACUAAGGGAAAACAGGGUAAAAUAUAUGAACAUCAAUCUCCAUUGCAAGGCCCUUGCAAAACCCAUCAACUUGACACCUUCCACCAUCAGCUAAGGAGACUGAUCGUUCGGGACGUCGAAGUAUUGGAAUUCCCAAAUCUUCGGCCACACUACUUUUAAUAAAGUUAUGUGUGCUACCCAUGUCGAAUAAUGUCCAACCAGAUCCAUUGGCAAUUUUAGCAUUCACUUGAAAUGUGCUCCCUGUUUCCUCGCCUUUCAUAGCGUGAAGAGAGACCUCCAUCUCCUCCUCCCCAGACUCAUCACCUGAAUCUUCGUCAUCGUCUAUCAUCUUGAUAUGGAACAAAAUUGGAUGACAUUUGUGUCCCGAAGUAAACACUUCGUCACAAUUAAAACAAAGUCCUUUUUCUCUUCUUUAUGCCAUCUCCGAGCUGGUUAAUUUUUUGUAAAUUUUCUUUUUCGGUAGUUGUCCUUGUCCUUCUUGGUUUGGAACCAGCGUCUCUCCCUCUUUAGCCCCAGCAAAUCCACGAGCUCCUGUAGUAGGUCGAGUUGUUGGUGUCACAAAACGUGAUGGAGGAGCCAGAUGUCCGCCAAACGUACGUGUCCGUCUAUCCCCUUCAAUCUUAUACUCAUUGUCCCUUGCAUAUUCCAUAGCUUCAAAGAUUGUUUCGGGGCGGAGAUACUCGACCUCUUUCUGCAAACUGUCCGUUAAUCCCGCACAGAACUGCCAAAGCUGUUGAUCUCCAGUCAAACGUGUUUGUCGUCCCAAGCAUACCUCGAACUGGUUGCAGUAUUCAUCUACUGUUCCUAUAUGUCGAAGGUUACAUAAUUCUCUCACUGGGUUGACAGAAUCUGCCUUGCCAAACCUACUCUUGCAGACACAUUUGAACUCGGCCCACCCAAUACGAUAUAAAACGAGUGCGUAAAUUUUGAUGCCAAUGGUAGGCUUGACCGGUUAGCACAAAGCUUGCUUGUCUGACUUUAGCAUUGUCGUUGAAAAUUCUCUGAUCUUCAAAGUAAUCUUCACAUUUUUGUAAUCAUUCCACGGCAUUAGUGGUACCAUCGUAUGGAGGAAAUUCAAUUUUGGAAGGUACUACCGUGAAACCAGCUGACCCCGACUUGUCUCCCAUACCUUUCCUAAACUCAGAUUGAUCACUAGGAAGGAAAUCAGAACCAACACCUUCAGCUCUUUCUCCAAUCUCUCGUACCUUCCAGUCACCACCUCCAUCAGUUCGUCGGUGCCCUUGCUCUCUUCCCACAGAACCUCGUGCCCAAGGUCCCCCUGAGUAAGAGGGUUGAUGUCCAUAGGUUGCGUUCAUCUUAGAGGCUGACCCUAUACCCUCUUUUUUUUCAUCUUGCGUGGUGGUAAACUGGUCUUCCACCACGUUUUUCUUGCUGGGUUGAACAACCACACCUUCACGACCCUCUUCUGUUUUUGUUUGGUUCUUGCUGGGUUGAACAACCACACUUUCACGACCCUCCUCUGUUUUCUUGUGGACUGUAUUUGCCCUUGUGGACUGUAUUUGCCAUGGCAAGGGUGUGCUCACGUAACUCUUCUUGAUUUGCCACUGUCGAUGCUAUCGCCGCUUGUUGUAUCGUGACUGUCCUUUGGAUAGAUCCCGCUUCAUGUCUCUUACCUCUUGUGUCAAAUCCCCCAAUGCUUUCACGACCUGCGCAACUUGAGCAGCUAAAGCUUCGUUAUCUCCCAUGGUUUCGUUUGGCUCUGAUACCAGAUUGUUAUGAGCCAAAGCCUUAGCCUUAGCUCUAGUAGUAGCACCCGUAGUUUAUAGCUCAAGAACAAAAGAGAACAAAGAGAUUGAAAGAUUAACUUCCUUUAACCCAAGUCUCUUGCUUAGAGAAUUAGGUUAACUGUUUGGAAGAUGAUUUCUUAUUGAUCUUUAGAUCUCCUUAUAUAGAGCUCUUACAACCGACUUAUGCUAAAUAGAAAAGUAAAAAUACCAAAACCUUAAUCUAAUCAUAAAAGGAAGUAUUAAUAACCGACUAACAAGAAGCUUUGGGCUUCCUCCUAUGAUACGUAAUACCAUAUCUCGUAUCAGACUGGAGAACUCUCUUAAGCCAAAGUAGAUUCAUCUACGACCAUAUGAAAAACAGUCAAAAAUACUCAUCCUUCCUUCACUCAAGAGACUCUUCUCAGAUAUGGAUAUUAGAGAACUUCGAUCAAUCUCCUUUAUACUUCAAACUGUGUGAUUUUGGUGAACACAUCCGAGGUAUGUCAGCCUGUGAUGGAUUAAUUUUGUUCUACACUGAUUCUCACAAAAUUGCAAUCUGGAAAUUGCAACUUACAAGUAUGUGGAUGGAUAGCCGAUAGAGAGCAUAUGUCCAUCUAUGACUGCUACUGCCUUGGACGCACAAGAGAUAUGAUAUACAAGGUUUUAAGAUUCAAUCUCUUUGGUUGCUAUUAUGAUGAUGAUUGUGUGGAUUAUACACUUGAAGCAGCAAUAUGUAAUGUCCAUGGCUGAAACUUGGACUCUGUAUAGGGAUAGGUUUGCCGUGCUAUCACUGCAAGGAAAUUCUUUUUGGUUGGCUCGCUAAAUUUGAAAGCAAUGAAGUCUUUGUGCAGUCAAUUAACUUUUCAACGUACAGAAUCGUUUAUACCAGUUAGACUUCCUUUUGUAGCAAGGCUAUUGGAUGCGACUACAACAGCUUUAUCGUGUUUCUAGGGAGAUAGAAUCUCUCUCCUUUAUCAAAGACACAGAGAACUUACUGAGCUAUGGGUUACUAACAAAGUCAGAGAUGAAGUUCCAGUUUCAGCUUGGAAAAACUUUUUAUCAUCACAAGUGAUCAUCCUCUCAUUCAUCAUGCUCCAAACUAUUUCGUCAACCUGUUAUGAGCCAAAGCCUUAGCCCUAGUAGUCACCCUGUAGUUUAUGCUUAGAACAAAGAGAACAAAAGAGAUUUCAAAAGCUUAACUUCCUUUUAACCCUUGUUUAGAGAAUUAGGUUAAGUGUUUGGAAGAUUCAUUAUUGAUGUUUUAGGGACCUAUUUAUAGAUCCCUUUACAACCGACUUAACAUCUUAACUUUUAACUAAAAGUAAAAAUUCCAAAACCAAUUUCUAAAUAGAAAAGGAAACAUAAUAAUUAAAAGAACUAGAAGCUUCUCAAUCCUUCCUCUUUAUCCUAUGAUACGUAAUGCCAAAGCGUGUAUCACAACCUAAACAAUAUCACAAUCUUUUGUGAAGAGGUAACAGCAGGUGAUGUUGCUUAGAUCAAAUUGAUGAAACUCUCACAAACUGGGUUGGAGCAAACAUAUGUACAGAGGUAUAACCAUUCAAAGAGUUGUGCCCCUUCAAAUAGUUGUGUUUACUUUCACAGUUUGGUUCCCGUACCAGGAUUUUAAAAGAUGGGAAAGACAACCUGAAGAAUGACACCAUGAGAUGUCCAAGACAAAGGUAGAGAAACACCAAACUUAGUAUGUUUACAAGUUUUAAAGGACACACACCAAAUUAACUUAGUACGUUUACAAGUUUUAAAGGACACUAAUGCCUUGAUGUUAUAAAAUGUCUAGAGGCAUGAAAGGUCUGAUAGAAAGCAUCAUAUAAAAAGCUCUCCAUAAUUAGAUCUUAAAGCUCAAAACUGAAUCCACUCAAGGAUUUAGAAGUGUACGUAAUUUCAGUGUCUAACAAAAAAAAAAUUCAAAAGAAAGAUUCCUACAUUGAUCUUCAGUGAAUGAUAAUCUGACCAAAAUCUAAUUAACAUAACCGAUUCCAACUUAAAAAAAAAACAAAUUAUAAGAAAAUGAUUUACAUGUAAUUACCACAUGUGUUGCAUCGAACACGUACUGGAAGCAUAAAUCGAAUCUUCUUCUGCUGAUUUUUCGGUUUCUGGAGGCGAGGUAUCUUCUUCGGAUUGAAAUCUGGCGAAUAAUACUUGUUUGGGUAACUUCAGAGCACACAUUCGAUUAAACAAAAAAGGCAAAUCAGGCAAUAACAAAAGAAGGAGAUCGCAAGACUAUGAGAAACACACACGAAGAAGAAGAAGAAGAACAGUCCAACAAAGAAGGAGAUCUCUCUUUGCUCUUUCUCUAUUUCUCUCUUGUAAUUUUUGUUGGACCUUAAUUUAUUUAAGCUUAGUGGGCUUAAUAAAAUUGGAUUGUGUGAAUGAGAAAUUAGGCCUUAAUGGUUUGGCCUUGCUUAAGAUGGAGCUCCAAGAGAAGUGGGUCAGAUUGGAUAGAGUCAAAACUCUGUUUCACGAUCCGUGAGACUCGGUCUCUUUGUUUUCGUGAUCAAGUGGAGAGUUAUGGAGAGUUGGAUUUCCUUGAGAGAUCGUCGCUUCUUCACGUCGUCCACCUCCUAGAUUUGCGAUGGACUUGGUAAAGUUGUGGAGAAUCAAUUUCAAACCCAAGUCAUCCAAGUCCUCUAUAUAUACUCGUUGAGUUCUUCUCUUGAAAAACAGCGAAUUGACGAUAUCAAAGUCGCUUGUUCUCACACACAGCAAAAGCACAAAACAUCCAGCAAUCUCUCACAAAACAUGUCCAGUGAAGACUUGAACGUGUCCAACAUUGCUGAGGUCACGGAGACCACCACCAAUGGGACUGGGAAUGACAUCCAGUUUGGUACGCUCCCUCCGGUGAAAGUAGCAGUCCCUGAACCUAUACCAGCUGCAGUCUCAGAUCAGUUUCAAAGGGUGCAGAUUCCAGCUGUAAAUUCGGCUGGUCUACUUCCGGACAAGUUUGAUGGAACAUCGUUCAAAAUGUGGCAAAAGAAGAUGUUCUUCUAUCUUACCACACUGAAACUAAGUAAGUACACUAAUGAGGAGAAGCCCAUUCUCUCGGAGGAUAACACGAAUCCACAUGCGUUAGCAAGCGUACAGGCUUGGAUACAAGGUGACUUCCUGUGCAAGGGUUACAUCCAGAGUCGUCUCAAUGAUCAGUUGUACAACGUUUGUGUUGUUAUCUCUUAUUCAUUACGUAGUGUGGCAAAUUUCUAGCUCCUACAAUUUCUUGUUUAGAUGGUCUUUAAACGUUUUGGCUUAGGGGACGAAAACCUCCUUAUAUAGUCAAAGAUGAGCUUCUCUGUUUCCUUUUGCA